rnacentral:SRP_RNA from 1 species
GCUGGGCGUGGUGAUGCACACCUGUAGUCCUAGCUACUCAGGAGGCUGAGGCAGGAGGAUCACUUGAACCCAGGAGAUUGAGGCUGCAGUGAGCUAUGAUCAUGCCACUGCACUCCAGCCUGGGCGACAGAGUGAGACCCUGUCUCAA